GCCCGACUAGCUCACCGGUAGAGCGCCUCACUAGUAUAUCUUGAUUAUCCUCAGAUGCAAUGAGGAGGCAACAGGUUCGACUCCUGUGUUGGGCA